UACGUAGGGGGCAAGCGUUGUCCGGAUUUAUUGGGCGUAAAGAGCUCGUAGGCGGCUCAGUAAGUCAGGUGUGAAACCUCCAGGCUCAACCUGGAGACGCCACCUGAUACUGCUGUGGCUAGAGUCCGGUAGGGGGAGCGUGGAAUUCCUGGUGUAGCGGUGAAAUGCGCAGAUAUCAGGAGGAACACCAGCGGCGAAGGCGGCGCUCUGGGCCGGAACUGACGCUGAGGAGCGAAAGCGUGGGGAGCAAACAGG
rnacentral:rRNA from 1 species